AGUCUUCUGAAGUCAUACAAUAAGUUUCUGUGAAAAGUUUCAACAUUGAGGUAUUAAUUGCUGAAAAUGAUUCCACUCCAUAAACACAGUCAUCAUAAAAUACAGCUGAAUUUGAGUUUGAGAUAAAAGACAUCUAAACUGACGUAAUAAAUGUCCCUGUCCACAGCAUUUGUCUGUUGAUGCAAAGGUAUCUUAAUGAAACCAGUGAAAUACCCUGCACAUGGACAAACUGCACUAAAUGGACAAACUAAAAACUGACACCAAGGGCUCCUGACCAAGAGUCAAGGAUUGAGAAAGUGUAAAAGACGGUCCCCAAUGAGACUGUGACGCCUGUUUGGUUGCCUUACAUUUAUCAAUAUUUCAUAUUCUGUUCAUCUAUGAAACAACAAUGUUGAUAACAACACUAAAACAGCCAUUCUUGCCAUCAGAAAUAGUUAAACCUAAGUAAAAACAUAAGACAUAGAGUGACUCGUCAGGUCGAGAUGCAAUGCAUAAGAGAAUGGCCAGCAUGCUGAUGACUGGUCAUACAGAAGCUGAUCAUACAGAUGACCGGCCAUACAGACCGCAUGGACACGGAUAGCUGUCGUACAGACAGUGAUCACAUCCUGAUGUAACCCAUCGCUCUCCAGCUGGAGGAAGUGCUGCUUUAUAAUCACAGAACCUUCACUCAAUAUUAAAGUGAUUCUGUCUGCUAGAAGGGAGAACAUAUCCUACAACACGAAAAAGUCAAGUCAACAGUUCACAUUGUUCACUCUAAACAAGAAUUUCACUUCAUCAGAAAGUUCAGUCCUCAAAAAAAGCUGCAUGCAGAAUCUGGAUUGUUGGGACAGCUACAUUCGACGUGGUGAAAAGCGAGCAAGGGAAACCAUGGGCACCAAUCUCAGUGUGUCCUCCCAGGUCCAGUGUUUGUCAGAGGAGGCAUGUGUUGGGGUGACCUCCUUCCUUUCUUCCAACAGUGUCUUAAAGAAAGAACUGAAUAAAUGAAGAUUAUGCUUUCUUCAAUCGACCCGAGGCACCACUGGAGGAAAGGUGGACAAAGUCAGGAAGUUUGUGAACAAUGUGAUGGCCAAGUUUGUUCUCUGUUUUAAUGGAGCAUUGUCCAUCAUCCACACAUAGUGUUUGACAAGCCUGAGCUAUAUUUAAAUGAGGAGGUUCAUUUAAGCCCUAAGGGAAAAUGAUAUAUAUUUUUUUAACUGAUAUUAUCCAGUGUCUGAAAG